rnacentral:rRNA from 1 species
AUUGAACGCUGGCGGCAGGCCUAACACAUGCAAGUCGAACGGUAACAGGAAGCGGCUUGCUGCUUCGCUGACGAGUGGCGGACGGGUGAGUAAUGUCUGGGAAGCUGCCUGAUGGAGGGGGAUAACUACUGGAAACGGUAGCUAAUACCGCAUACUGUCGCAAGACCAAAGAGGGGGACCUUCGGGCCUCUUGCCAUCGGAUGUGCCCAGAUGGGAUUAGCUUGUUGGUGGGGUAACGGCUCACCAAGGCGACGAUCCCUAGCUGGUCUGAGAGGAUGACCAGCCACACUGGGACUGAGACACGGUCCAGACUCCUACGGGAGGCAGCAGUGGGGAAUAUUGCACAAUGGGCGCAAGCCUGAUGCAGCCAUGCCGCGUGUAUGAAGAAGGCCUUCGGGUUGUAAAGUACUUUCAGCGGGGAGGAAGGGAGUAAAGUUAAUACCUUUGCUCAUUGACGUUACCCGCAGAAGAAGCACCGGCUAACUCCGUG